AUAUUGGACAAUGGGCGCAAGCCUGAUCCAGCAAUGCCGCGUGAGUGAUGAAGGCCUUAGGGUUGUAAAGCUCUUUUACCAGGGAUGAUAAUGACAGUACCUGGAGAAUAAGCUCCGGCUAACUCCGUGCCAGCAGCCGCGGUAAUACGGAGGGAGCUAGCGUUGUUCGGAAUUACUGGGCGUAAAGCGCACGUAGGCGGCUACUCAAGUCAGGGGUGAAAGCCCGGGGCUCAACCCCGGAACUGCCUUUGAAACUAGGUAGCUAGAAUCUUGGAGAGGUCAGUGGAAUUCCGAGUGUAGAGGUGAAAUUCGUAGAUAUUCGGAAGAACACCAGUGGCGAAGGCGACUACCUGGACCAGCACUGACACUGAGGCACGAAAGCGUGGGGAGCAAACAGG
rnacentral:rRNA from 1 species